rnacentral:rRNA from 1 species
CCUACGGGUGGCUGCAGUGGGGAAUAUUGGGCAAUGGGCGCAAGCCUGACCCAGCAACUCCGCGUGAAGGAAGACGGCUUUCGGGUUGUAAACCUCUUUUGACAGGGAAGAGCAGAAGACGGUACCUGUCGAAUAAGCCACGGCUAACUCCUGGCCAGCAGCCGCGGUAAUACGGAGGGGGCGAGCGUUGUCCGGAUUUACUGGGGGUAAAGGGCGUGUAGGCGGGCUGACAAGUCAGAUGUGAAAUCCGGGGGCUCAACCCCCGAACUGCAUUUGACACUGUAGGUCUUGAGUAUCGGAGAGGCAGGCGGAAUUCCUAGUGUAGCAGUGAAAUGCGUAGAUAUUAGGAAGAACACCGGUGGCGAAGGCGGCCUGCUGGACGACAACUGACGCUGAGGCGCGAAAGCGUGGGGAGCAAACAGGAUUAGAUACCCCUGUAGUC